rnacentral:rRNA from 1 species
AGCUCAGGACGAACGCUGGCGGCGUGCCUAAUACAUGCAAGUAGAACGCUGAAGACUUUAGCUUGCUAAAGUUGGAAGAGUUGCGAACGGGUGAGUAACGCGUAGGUAACCUGCCUACUAGCGGGGGAUAACUAUUGGAAACGAUAGCUAAUACCGCAUAAUAGCAUUUAACACAUGUUAGAUGCUUGAAAGGAGCAAUUGCUUCACUAGUAGAUGGACCUGCGUUGUAUUAGCUAGUUGGUGAGGUAACGGCUCACCAAGGCAACGAUACAUAGCCGACCUGAGAGGGUGAUCGGCCACACUGGGACUGAGACACGGCCCAGACUCCUACGGGAGGCAGCAGUAGGGAAUCUUCGGCAAUGGGGGCAACCCUGACCGAGCAACGCCGCGUGAGUGAAGAAGGUUUUCGGAUCGUAAAGCUCUGUUGUAAGAGAAGAACGUGUGUGAGAGUGGAAAGUUCACACAGUGACGGUAACUUACCAGAAAGGGACGGCUAACUACGUGCCAGCAGCCGCGGUAAUACGUAGGUCCCGAGCGUUGUCCGGAUUUAUUGGGCGUAAAGCGAGCGCAGGCGGUUUAAUAAGUCUGAAGUUAAAGGCAGUGGCUUAACCAUUGUUCGCUUUGGAAACUGUUAGACUUGAGUGCAGAAGGGGAGAGUGGAAUUCCAUGUGUAGCGGUGAAAUGCGUAGAUAUAUGGAGGAACACCGGUGGCGAAAGCGGCUCUCUGGUCAGUAACUGACGCUGAGGCUCGAAGAGCCCUA